UACGUAGGCAGCGAGCGUUGUUCGGAAUUACUGGGCGUAAAGAGUGUGUAGGUGGUGUCGUAAGUUUGGUGUGAAAUCUCCCGGCUUAACUGGGAGGGUGCGCCGAAGACUGCGAUGCUGGAGUACGGGAGAGGAAAGCGGAAUUCCUGGUGUAGCGGUGAAAUGCGUAGAAUAUCAGGAGGACACUGCGGUGUGAAGACCGGCUUUCUGGGACCAUUACUGACACUUGAGACCAUCGAAAGCGUGGGGAGCAAACAGGA
rnacentral:rRNA from 1 species